rnacentral:misc_RNA from 1 species
UCGUUGAAUUCUUAAAGCAUAGAAAAUAUAUAUAGAUGCGCAAACUGUUGGAAUCUAUGAGUUGGGAUUGUUUGUUAAUUUCCCAGUUCCCAUGCUUUAAGAAUUCAACGACCUGUAAUAUCUACUGAAGCUAUCAGCUGUUAAAGAUGUCUCCAUCACUCUGCAACUACAUGUGUGAUUACUCCGCAACCCUAGACUGCAACAAAAGCAUACAGCUUUAGUAGGCGCCUCAGAGAAUACAUAUGCCAAGUUUUGCUGUUGCGGUUGCUGCUGUUGGUCGUGGUGGUGCUGCUGCUGAUGGUGGUUUGAUUGCUUCUGCUUAAUAAAAUUUAUAGAUGAAACUUGAGGCUGGUGAUAUGAAAGGCCUAUAGAUAGCUCAAGAUUGAUUUCUGGGCAAACUUCCUCUGUGGUCACUCCACUGCUGCUGUUGGAAUCUUCAGCUGAUGAAUCUGUGCGAACCUUUAUAUUGGAAUUGCAUAUCUUCAUACUACCGAUACACUCUGGCGCUUGCACAAAUUGUGCUAAUGAAUUGUGUGUUUCUAUUUUAGAAACAUUGAUGCUGCCCUUAUUAUUUUUGUUAUUGUUGCUGCUGCUCCAGCAAUUGCUGAGUGCCGCCGAGGCUGUGGUGGUGGUGGUGGUGGCGGUGGCAGCUGCGGCGGAGUUGAGAGGACGGUGAGUUUGAGGAUCGAUUCCACGGCUGUAGAGCUUUCUUUUGAUAUGGGUAUUCCAAUAGUUCUUGAUCUCAUUGUCUGUUCUUCCAGGUAAGCGAGCAGCAAUAAGAGACCAUUUGUUUCCAAGUAAGCUGUGAAGUUUGAUGAUGAGUUCAUCUUCUUCUUCUGUGAAGUUUCCCCUCUUGAGAUCAGGUCUCAGGUAGUUUAUCCACCUAAGCCUACAACUCUUGCCACAUCUAAGCAAGCCAGCUGCCUUGGGGAGAGACCUCCAACAACCUUCUCCAUGAAGUUUGAUGUAGUUGAUAAGACGCUCAUCUUCCUCUUUGGUCCAUGCACCUUUGUUGGUGUGUUCUUUCUCACAACAAGGAGAUCGACCCAUGGCUAAUUUUUAUGCCCUAACAAGAGAAGAGAGACUGAGAAAGUGGUAGAAAAUAUGUGGGUAUGAGAUUG